CUUUAUAAAUAUAGAGCUAUAAAGUUGGCUUGUGUCUGUUCAAAAAAAUAAAAUAGGAGUGGAAAUUUUGAAACACUGAGAGAUUUGUUGUUUUGCAUGAUAGCCAUGAAGAGCUUUGGGACUUGAAUGAGUUCCUGACUGAUUCAAAGUAAAAACCCAAAAGUUCUUUUCAAUACUCAAACAAUUAGAGUGGGAAGAAUGCACCAGAAAUCAAUGGAUGAUUGGAUCAAGACUCACCAACAUCGCAGCUAGUUUGAUUCUUUCAUCGCUCUGGAUACAGGCAGGGUACUUUUCAGAAUUGCAAAGGAGAAACAUCCACAAUUUUGAAUUGCUCUCUUGAACAUCAGCCAUCCAAUCAUCUGGAUAAUUAAUAUGAAUAAUUUUGGUUUCUACAUGAUUCAAAAUAAACUUGACUAGCGUGUCUUUAUCUCUGUCACCGUUGUACUGAAUGCGCUGUUAAACAAGAAAAGAAAAAAAUUAUGAUACAUGUAUAAAUAUUCGUGAAGGAGGGAAAAUGAAAAAUCCACUAUACAGUCUCAUAGAUUGUUAAAAAUGAACGGAGCCCCUCCACAUAAAUAUAAAAUGUAUUUUGAAUUUAUUAGUAAA